AUUGAACGCUGGCGGCAUGCUUUACACAUGCAAGUCGAACGGUAACAGGGAGCUUGCUCCGCUGACGAGUGGCGAACGGGUGAGUAAUAUAUCGGAACGUACCCAAGAGUGGGGGAUAACGUAGCGAAAGUUACGCUAAUACCGCAUACGAUCUAAGGAUGAAAGCAGGGGACCUUCGGGCCUUGUGCUCCUGGAGCGGCCGAUAUCUGAUUAGCUAGUUGGUGAGGUAAAGGCUCACCAAGGCGACGAUCAGUAGCUGGUCUGAGAGGACGACCAGCCACACUGGAACUGAGACACGGUCCAGACUCCUACGGGAGGCAGCAGUGGGGAAUUUUGGCAAUGGGCGCAAGCCUGAUCCAGCAAUGCCGCGUGAGUGAA
rnacentral:rRNA from 1 species